rnacentral:rRNA from 1 species
GCGCUUCGGCGCACCCAGAAACCCUUUGUGAACUUAUACCUAUCUGUUGCCUCGGCGCAGGCCGGCCUUUUGUGACAAAGGCCCCCUGGAAACAGGGAGCAGCCCGCCGGCGGCCAACUAAACUCUUGUUUCUUUAGUGAAUCUCUGAGUAAAAAACAUAAAUGAAUCAAAACUUUCAACAACGGAUCUCUUGGUUCUGGCAUCGAUGAAGAACGCAGCGAAAUGCGAUAAGUAAUGUGAAUUGCAGAAUUCAGUGAAUCAUCGAAUCUUUGAACGCACAUUGCGCCCUCUGGUAUUCCGGAGGGCAUGCCUGUUCGAGCGUCAUUUCAACCCUCAAGCCUGGCUUGGUGAUGGGGCACUGCCUUCUAGCGAGGGCAGGCCCUGAAAUCUAGUGGCGAGCUCGCUAGGACCCCGAGCGUAGUAGUUAUAUCUCGUUCUGGAAGGCCCUGGCGGUGCCCUGCCGUUAAACCCCCAACUUCUGAAAAUUUGACCUCGGAUCAGGUAGGAAUACCCGCUGAACUUAAGCAUAUCA